rnacentral:rRNA from 1 species
GACAGAGGAUGCAAGCGUUAUCCGGAAUACUGGGCGUAAGCGUGCGCAGGCGGUGAUGUAAGACAGUUGUGAAAUCCCCGGGCUCAACCUGGGAAUUGCAUCUGUGACUGCAUUGCUCGAGUGCGGCAGAGGGGGAUGGAAUUCCGCGUGUAGCAGUGAAAUGCGUAGAUAUGCGGAGGAACACCGAUGGCGAAGGCAAUCCCCUGGGCCUGCACUGACGCUCAUGCACGAAAGCGUGGGGAGCAAACAGG